AUUGAACGCUGGCGGCAUGCCUAACACAUGCAAGUCGAACGGUAACGGACCGCUGGGAUUCCUUCGGGAUGACCUUGGUGCCGACGAGUGGCGGACGGGUGAGUAAUACUUAGGAAUCUGCCCAGUAGUGGGGGACAACUCGGGGAAACUCGAGCUAAUACCGCAUACGCCCUACGGGGAAAGCGGGGGAUCUUCGGACCUCGCGCUAUUGGAUGAGCCUAAGUCGGAUUAGCUUGUUGGUAGGGUAAUGGCCUACCAAGGCGACGAUCCGUAGCUGGUCUGAGAGGACGAUCAGCCACACUGGGACUGAGACACGGCCCAGACUCCUACGGGAGGCAGCAGUGGGGAAUAUUGGACAAUGGGGGCAACCCUGAUCCAGCAAUGCCGCGUGUGUGAAGAAGGCCUGCGGGUUGUAAAGCACUUUCAGUAGAGAAGAAAAGCCUAGGGUUAAUAGCCUUAAGUCUUGACGUAACCUACAGAAGAAGCACCGGCUAACUCCGUG
rnacentral:rRNA from 1 species